rnacentral:tRNA from 1 species
GAUCCCGUAGCUCAGUGGUAGAGCAUCUGACUUUUAAUCAGAGGGCCGAUGGUUCAAGCCCAUCCGGGAUCACCA